UUUCACCGAGCGACACAACCUGACCAACGCCUUGGCGGCGGUGGCGAUCGGCGUUGCCCUGGAUGCGCAGCUGGACGACAUGGCCGACCGCGCUGCGAACAUAGGCUUCUCCCGCUUCCGGGGCGAGCGCCUCGAGCUGGGCGAUGGGAUCGUCCUUGUGAACGACUGCUACAACGCCAACCCGGUGUCGAUGCGAGCGGCGCUCGACCAUCUGGGCUCCUUCGAUCGGGGCCGUCGCAUUGCCGUGCUGGGAGAGAUGGCGGAGCUUGGCCCAGGUGCGG
rnacentral:misc_RNA from 1 species